rnacentral:lncRNA from 1 species
UCUCCGCUUAUCUUCUCGGUUUCUCGCUAGUUUUUCUUCUGUGUUUCGUUUUUGAUUUUUUAGUUCCUAUGUCUUCCAGCUAGUUUUCUUUUUUCUCUUUUUCUAGUCAUUUUCCUUGUUAUUUUCGUUUAUUCUUUUCUAAGUUGUUUUGUUAAUCCAACUCCAUCCCAUGUGGUAAGACAGGCUUUCUAACCUUUAUCUCCUGAUGACAGCUUUGAAAUGACUGAUCCACCAGUAGAUCCAGGGGACUCCCCUGGUAAUAACUCCCAUAUCCAAACUGCUUCUGAUUCUGCAAUCACCGAUCCUUUGGCUAAUUCUACAGCAAGUAGAAGAACGAUUAUUCUUAAGAAUAUUGAUGAUUUACUUUAUCCUGAUAACUCAACUGGCCCUUUUGUUAUCUCCUUAUCGUACGUCGGGUUAGGUAACAAACAUGCCACUCUUAUUGGUGAAGCCCUUUAUAGAUGUAAUAUUGUGGGUAUUAAGUCUAUAAGAAAGAUCAAUAAAAACUUAGUUAACAUCGAAUUCGUUAAACGCGACCAUGCGAAUAAUCUUGUCUCUAAUCAUAAAACUCUUCUCCCGUAUGAAAAUGCGAGGGUUUUCAUUCCCCUAAAUUAUAUUACUCGUAGACUAGUAAUUAAUGACGUACAUACAGACCUCGGCAUCGAAUCUAUAGGCAACUACCUAAAAGAUAAGUAUUCUAAUGUUAUCUCGGUACGACGUAUCUUCCGAAGAAAUGAGAAAGGUGUCUUAGCUCCUACCCCUAAACUUGAACUUUUAUGGGAAGGUACUACCCGUCCUGACUUCUUCUACAUCUUCUAUUCUCGUUGCAAAGCUAGCCCCUACAUCUACAACGUUACAACCUGUUCUAACUGUUUAAAUUAUGGCCAUCGUGCUGAAUUUAAGGGUAUCUUAACUUGUAAAGGUCUUAAACGAUGCCCAAACUGCUCUGAUCAACAUGCUGCGCAUGAUAUUUGCCCUAACGCAACCAAAUGUCUUCAUUGCAAAGGUCCCCACAAGACUUUCGACCCUUCCUGUCCCUCCCUCCUUGAACAGAAAUCUAUUAAAAAAAUUAUGGCCUUUGAAAACCUUAGCUUCCAUGAA